GCGCCGUUGUUCAAUUGGUGAACAACUGUCUUGUGUAAGGCAGGUACAGCAUUUUUUGGGUUCGAUUCCUAAACGGCGCACCA
rnacentral:tRNA from 1 species